rnacentral:rRNA from 1 species
ACGGGUGAGUAACACGUGGAUAACCUACCUAUAAGACUGGGAUAACUUCGGGAAACCGGAGCUAAUACCUGAUAACAUAUUGAACCGCAUGGUUCAAUAGUGAAAGGCGGCUUUGCUGUCACUUAUAGAUGGAUCCGCGCCGUAUUAGCUAGUUGGUAAGGUAACGGCUUACCAAGGCAACGAUACGUAACCGACCUGAGAGGGUGAUCGGCCACACUGGAACUGAGACACGGUCCAGACUCCUACGGGAGGCAGCAGUAGGGAAUCUUCCGCAAUGGGCGAAAGCCUGACGGAGCAACGCCGCGUGAGUGAUGAAGGUCUUCGGAUCGUAAAACUCUGUUAUCAGGGAAGAACAAAUGUGUAAGUAACUGUGCACAUCUUGACGGUACCUGAUCAGAAAGCCACGGCUAACUACGUGCCAGCAGCCGCGGUAAUACGUAGGUGGCAAGCGUUAUCCGGAAUUAUUGGGCGUAAAGCGCGCGUAGGCGGUUUUUUAAGUCUGAUGUGAAAGCCCACGGCUCAACCGUGGAGGGUCAUUGGAAACUGGAAAACUUGAGUGCAGAAGAGGAAAGUGGAAUU